AUUGAACGCUGGCGGCAGGCCUAACACAUGCAAGUCGAACGCGUGGCGGACGGGUGAGUAAUGUCUGGGAAACUUCCUGCUGGCGGGGGGUAACUACUUGAAACGGUAGCUAAUACCGCAUACCAUCGGAUGUGCCCAGAUGGGAUUGGCUCGUAGGUGGGGUAACGGCUCACCUCGGCGACGAUCCCUAGCUGGUCUGAGAGGAUGACCAGCCACACUGGAACUGAGAAACGGUCCAGACUCCUACGGGAGGCAGCAGUGGGGAAUAUUGCACAAUGGGCGAAAGCCGGAUGCAGCCAUGCCGCGUGUAUGAAGAAGGCCUUCGGGUUGUAAAGUACUUUCAGCGGGGAGGCGUUACCCGCAGAAGAAGCACCGGCUAACUCCGUGCCAGCAGCCGCGGUAAUAC
rnacentral:rRNA from 1 species